CCGUGCUAGCUGGGGCAGUAGCGGCUCCCUGUAACCCGCAAUCCGCUAUAGCGGGGGUGACGCCCGUCCGAGGCUCCUUUUUUGUGAGGUCAGUUUUCCGUAAGUGGCGUUGACGGCUUGGUUCCGCGCAAUAGAACUUUGCGAAUCGAGUCAGGGCCGGAAGGCAGCAGCUAUAAGCGAAGCCAUCUGUGUGCCGCGGAGGCGCCUGGCCUGAGCAAACUGCGGAGGGAACGCUUGGAAAGAAAUGUCGGAGACGGGCGCACGG
rnacentral:SRP_RNA from 1 species